rnacentral:rRNA from 1 species
UACGAGGGGGGCAAGCGUUGUUCGGAAUUAUUGGGCGUAAAGGGUGCGUAGGCGGUUUGGUAAGUCUGAUGUGAAAUCUAUGGGCUCAACUCAUAGUCUGCAUCGGAAACUGCCGGGCUAGAGUCCGGAAGAGGCGAGUGGAACUCCUGGUGUAGCGGUGGAAUGCGCAGAUAUCAGGAAGAACACCGACGGCGAAGGCAGCUCGCUGGGACGGUACUGACGCUGAGGCGCGAAAGCGUGGGGAGCGAACAGG